ACGGGGGGGGCAAGCGUUGUUCGGAAUUACUGGGCGUAAAGGGCGCGUAGGCGGUUCGCUAAGUUGGAUGUGAAAACUCUGGGCUCAACCCAGAGCCUGCAUCCAAAACUGGCGGGCUAGAGUUCUGGAGGGGGUAGCGGAAUUCCUGGUGUAGCGGUGAAAUGCGUAGAUAUCAGGAGGAACACCGGUGGCGAAGGCGGCUACCUGGACAGAAACUGACGCUGAGGCGCGAAAGCUAGGGGAGCAAACAGGA
rnacentral:rRNA from 1 species